GGGGGACAGUGAAGACAUAGGGGAAAAGCUAACUUGAGGUCAUCGUGGUGGACGCCCCAGAAAUGCAGCCCAGCACACCUGUACGAGCUCCCAGGAGUCUUCAUUUCGGCCUCGGGUCGUCGAGGAGAAGUGUGCCAAUAACUGAGGAUGAGCUCGAUGCAAGCCAUGGAAGCUUGUUUCUGGGUGCAGUGGGGACGGGAAGUUGCAAGAAAUUGUCUUUACACUUUACAUCAUGCGUCCCGAUUCUCUCUUGCCAAACCCGGCCUUGACAAUUAGCAAAUAGCAUUCUAUCAAAAUUAGACCACGAAUAUCCGAUUUUCCCCUGCUGCUUUUCUGCCAAGCCCCUGUCAUAAUGCUCAGUCUCGUUAGUAAUAGUAACAAUAAUUAAUAAUGAUAAUGUGUGUUACCCAGGAUAUGUUCAAACCAUAAGCCAAAGACAGCAGCAGAACGGUGUGGAGGUAUAUUUUGCAAACAUCGUGCACAGGUUGGUUUGUUAGAGACGUCAUUAUUGGUGACAGUGCGGAGCGGAUCCACUCCCAGGAAAGACAGGAACAGGAGGAGAAACUUCAGAGAAAUAUUUAGACAUGGACUAAGACCUACAUCCAAGGAUAUUCAUUAUCAUUGCAGCACUGGCGGCAACCUAGAUGUCCAGCAAUACAGCACUGAGCAAGUAAAGUCGUGGUGCAUCCACACAGUGGAGAUGCAACCUUAGAGAAGGGUGAAAAUGCUGAUAUGGAACUAUCUAAGUGAUACAUAAAGAAGCAAGACACACUUUAAAUGGGUAAAUUAUAUGGUAUGUGACAUAUCUCAAUAAAGCUGUUACACUUCUUAAAAAAGGCACAGUACUGCGAAGUGUGCUGCCAUUUGCCUUUUCAAAAGUGCCCGUGUAUAAAUACAAACGUGUCUCUUGACCAUCUGAGGGGAUGCACAAGAGACUAAUAACAUCCUCUGAGAGGGGAAUGGAGGUUAGGAGCUGGGGGGAAGAGUUACUUUUCCCUGUAAUCCGUGUGGAAGCCUGAUUUUUUAAAACUGUGU
rnacentral:lncRNA from 1 species